CGUCCUCUUCCCCGUUCGAGCUUCGGCGACGGUCGCCAAUGGCGGCCCCCAUCCCCCUUCGUCUCCCUCGAAACCCUAAACCGCGCAUGCCCCGAUUUCGUAGUGAGGCACGCUAACCCUUACGCAAAUCCUCAAGAGAUCUACUUUAUUUCGUUCCGAUCCGUGAUAGGUGCAUCUACAAUUGGUGAUCUGUGGGUGAUAAAAGACGCCGUAAAUGGUAGGGAACUUCAGUCGUAAGUAUGUGAUAAAGGGUGUUAUGCGUCGGCAGUUUGUUCAAAUUCUGGGGCGGUAGUGAGUUUUCAAAGGACUCCUGAAAGACAGUAUAUGCUUUUGCCGCAUUUUUGAGUAAUCCAAUUAACCAUUCUACCUGUAUGUUGCAGAAGCGAACAGUUGUGUAGUAUUGGGUCGAAAAUUCAAACAGUGUGUUGUAUUUCUAUCUCCAUUGUAUUGCGGAGUCUGUAAUACAUGCUUAACACAUUGUGGAAAAAGCUACCUGCAUAUUUUUAAAAGAGGUGUAUGAUAUACAUUCUAUUUUUCUAGGAUGAGAUAGUUUUCACCGGUCAUAUUGAUGUGAUUAGUAAAAAAGAUUUCACUCUAGGAUGGAUUGAGUGUAUAUCAUAUGUCUUUUUUUUGGAGUGUAUGCGCAGUUUUAUUCAAACAUUAGUGAGCUUUUUGUUAAA